rnacentral:rRNA from 1 species
UAGGGAAUCUUCCGCAAUGGGCGAAAGCCUGACGGAGCAACGCCGCGUGAGUGAUGAAGGUCUUCGGAUCGUAAAACUCUGUUAUUAGGGAAGAACAAAUGUGUAAGUAACUAUGCACGUCUUGACGGUACCUAAUCAGAAAGCCACGGCUAACUACGUGCCAGCAGCCGCGGUAAUACGUAGGUGGCAAGCGUUAUCCGGAAUUAUUGGGCGUAAAGCGCGCGUAGGCGGUUUUUUAAGUCUGAUGUGAAAGCCCACGGCUCAACCGUGGAGGGCCAUUGGAAACUGGAAAACUUGAGUGCAGAAGAGGAAAGUGGAAUUCCAUGUGUAGCGGUGAAAUGCGCAGAGAUAUGGAGGAACACCAGUGGCGAAGGCGACUUUCUGGUCUGUAACUGACGCUGAUGUGCGAAAGCGUGGGGAUCAAACAGG